GACGAACGCUGGCGGCGUGCCUAAUACAUGCAAGUCGAACGCUUCUUUCCUCCCGAGUGCUUGCACUCAAUUGGAAAGAGGAGUGGCGGACGGGUGAGUAACACGUGGGUAACCUACCCAUCAGAGGGGGAUAACACUUGGAAACAGGUGCUAAUACCGCAUAACAGUUUAUGCCGCAUGGCAUAAGAGUGAAAGGCGCUUUCGGGGGUCGCUGAUGGAUGGACCCGCGGUGCAUUAGCUAGUUGGUGAGGUAACGGCUCACCAAGGCCACGAUGCAUAGCCGACCUGAGAGGGUGAUCGGCCACACUGGGACUGAGACACGGCCCAGACUCCUACGGGAGGCAGCAGUAGGGAAUCUUCGGCAAUGGACGAAAGUCUGACCGAGCAACGCCGCGUGAGUGAAGAAGGUUUUCGGAUCGUAAAACUCUGUUGUUAGGGAAGAACAAGGACGUUAGUAACUGAACGUCCCCUGACGGUAUCUAACCAGAAAGACACGGCUAACUACGUG
rnacentral:rRNA from 1 species